rnacentral:rRNA from 1 species
AAACCAACAGGGAUUGCCUCAGUAACGGCGAGUGAAGCGGCAAAAGCUCAAAUUUGAAAUCUGAGGCUCUCAGCCCCCGAGUUGUAAUUUGAAGAUGGUGUUCUGGUGCCGGCGCCCUGUCUACGUUCCUUGGAACAGGACAUCGCAGAGGGUGAGAAUCCCGUGUGGCGGGGCGGCCUGGCUCCGUGUAGAGCGCCAUCGACGAGUCGAGUUGUUUGGGAAUGCAGCUCUAAGUGGGUGGUAAAUUCCAUCUAAAGCUAAAUAUUGGCGAGAGACCGAUAGCGAACAAGUACAGUGAUGGAAAGAUGAAAAGAACUUUGAAAAGAGAGUGAAAAAGUACGUGAAAUUGUUGAAAGGGAAGGGUAUUGGAUCAGACUUGGUGCUGUGCGAAUAGCGGCUCUUCCUGGGCCGCCCCACUCGCACUCCACCGGGCCAGCAUCGGUUUGGGCGGCAAGACAAUGGCGGGGGAACGUGGCACUGCUCUCGGGCAGUGUGUUUAUAGCCCCCGCUGAUGUUGCCUGCCUAGACCGAGGACUGCGGCUUCUGCCUAGGAUGCUGGCGUAAUGAUCCAACACCGC